ACCCCACCACUCUCCCACGCGCUCAACUCUUUUUCAGAUAAACAAAAAAAUACUGCGUCUUUCUCUUCACUUUUUUCCGGAACAACAUUUAAUCACAACCAUUUCUUUUUUGCUUUUCUGCCUAUUUUCGAUUCGAAGUUCACCAUAUUUGGCAAUUUAUAGUUCAUGUUCACCAUUUCGUACUGUGAAUUAAUUCACCUCUUUGACCAAUAAAACCAACAUCUCUUUUCCAAAUCUCUUUCCACUGAUUUUCAAGUACAAAGACCAUUAAUGGUUUAAUGGUCUUUGUGUCACUGUGGAAUUCAAAAAUUUCUCAUGAAAUCAACUCCUAAUCCCCCCUAAAUCCCCUAUAAAUAGAUAGAGAGAGAUAGGGGUGAGGAGGAGGAUUUUUUUGGGGAAAAACUUGGAGAUUCUGGAGGCGCAUCACGUAACCAAAAUUCUCAAAGAACACUCAAGAAAUCAAAUCCUACGAACGUUGUUUGAACUCCAUGAGUUCAAGUCGAGUUCUAGUGGCGGAAAUUUCAUUGUGAUAAGUUAGUUGUCCCAAGUUCGUUGCUCUGAAAAAGGUUAAACGCUUUCCAUGCGAUUUCCUGUUAGCGUCUAAAUUUUUUAAAAAAUCUGUUAAGUGUCAUUCCUUUUCAUAAAUGUGUUGUUUGAGUGUUCAAUCAGAUGAUUUUUUCCUCUUAAUUUCUAGUUGUUUGCUAUGCUGCUUUUCAUUUAAAAAACUGUGAGAUCACCUUUUAUUUAAGACCGCAUAAUAUGUGCUUCUUUGAUAGUAGCUUGUCGUUUCAUCUUCAAAUAUGAAUAAAUUGGCUCAAGUCGACUUUUAUCCAUUUUGUUCAGUUGAUGUUCUGUGCAUAGUAUCUUGUUCGAGCUUCAGUUCGUUAUGGAUUGUAUAUUCAAAUGUGUUGUUUCCUUCUAAAAUUUAGGUUUUGUAUCAACUGAUGUUUCGCUUUAAAGCUCGAUUAAAAUCAAAUAGACUCCAUUUGGGCAUUUCUUAUAUGUUUUCAUCGUAUAUAGAGGGCUGCUCGUUUCUCUAGCUAUUACUAAUUUUGAAGUUGUGGUCUAGUUACAUGUGCUUAUUCUGUAUCUUUGGGUAUCAUGCAUAGUGGUUGAGUGAUUUGCUAACACGUGAUGUCGUGAUCUAUUUGAAUCUUACCCCUUAGCAGUUUCAAAUUUUAUUUUUAGUUUUUGGCCUUAAACAACACGUAUUCUAAAGUCAAAUAAUAAGUGGAUUCAAGUUUGUUUAGUGAAGCUAAGUUACUGAACCAGCAAGCCCUCCCUUCUGGUUAAGUUUUUUUUUUUUUUUUUUAAAAUAUCAUUGUCUUUUCUUGCAAUAGUGGCCAUAAUGCUUUCUUAAAGUUAACCCUCCCCUGAUUGUUGCGAUUGUUCAUGAGGCAUAAAAGGAUUUUGAACUAGACUAUUGUGCCUCCUAUUUCUAUCAACCAUUCUAUAUAAUGCCCGGGAUAAGCAUUUAAGUUUAUACGGAGUUGAUUGUUAAAUAUAUCGUUGGUUAGGAAAAAAUGUGUUGUUUGUAUCCUCCGUAGUUGCCUGUGUAGGAUAUUAUUUUCACAACUUGUUUGUGCGCCCAUUUGUGCAUCAUUUGAGUGUUCAAAUCAAUUUUGUCAUCUGUCUUACUAUGCAUUGUUUAUGUCUGGGAUUGUAAAAAUUCUACAUAGUAGAUGUAAAGUGUUAGGGUGCUGAAUUAGUUAGAAGAAUGAAUCACGUAUUGUCCUCUAUUUGCGUAUAAGUGCUUGUGGAUAACCAUUCUAUGUUGGAAAUACUUAGUUGCUGUCAAAUUUUAUAUCAUAAAUGUCUAAUCCUUAUCUCAUCUUUUUCUAUGCAUGAAAUAUAAUGAUCUUGAGUCCGAAUGAACUCCAUCCCUUGAAUAUUCCGAGAUGGGCCAAGCAGACCCGAGCUGUCGAGUCUAGCUACACGCUAAAGUUCAAAAUGGACUGAUACAGUGCCGGUAUACAGCAUUUAUACACAAAUAUACGGGUCCCUAAACAGGGGAGUCGAAGAGUAAGCUGAUUAUACCAUUAGAGGACUAAAGUUCUGUAUACAUUACUAAAAUACAGUCAUAUAUACAUUGAGUAUACAGAAAAUGCUGAAAAAAGAGCUGUGAUAUACAACUGAUAUACCGGAAAGAAAAUGGACCCAAAAUCCAUAAAGUUUAAGGCCCAAAACUGGGCAGCUUAUUGAUGGGACAACAAAGGGGCCCAACUCCAACUCUUUAUAUUUUAUUCCCUUGUAAUUUAUAAUUUAUUCUUGUUUAUUUUUAUUAACCUUAACUUUAAUUAAUUAAUCUAGUGGUUCCCUAUGUUGUUGCCACUAUAUUUUAUCUCGACUUUCCUACUUAAUCUAUAACUUUUAUCAACUAAUUCAUCUUGUUUAAAAUAGAUUAAAUUGGUUCCUUCAUUUUUCAUCCUCAAAACAUGUUCACAUGACUAAUAGUUUAUUUAGAUUGAAGUAAUUUUCUUCAAACUUAAGAAAUUAAGUUAUUUUGGAAAAUUAACUUUCUAUCAUUAGGGAAGUACUUGGUCUAAAGUAUAAUAUUUCUCGUUUGAAUAAAAGAGAUUCCAUUUUAAAUAUGUAAAUAAAUAACUUUAAUGUUUUUAUAAAAUCAACCUUUUCAUAAAGUUAAGCCACCCUUUUUAAGUUAGUCAAAAAAAUAAUUUUUGGUGAACCGUUUUUAAAACGGAUGUCUAAGUGCCUUAAAAACCUUCUUAGGACGUUAAUUGAAUCCUUACUCAGUUUUUCUAAUUUCAAAUAUUCAUUUCUAUUUUUUAAAUCUUUGAUAUUCCUUUAAGUUUUCUUGGUACUCCCUCCGUUCCAUUUUAUGUGUCGUCAUUUGAUCGGGCACAGAGUUUAAGAAAUAAGUAAAGACUUUAUGCUUUUUACAAAAUUGUUCUUCAUUAAAACAAUGUACUAUUAUUAUUUUUAAUUAAGUAUGCUCUUAUAAGUGGGACAUAUAAGGGUGAAAGUGUAAUUGUAUCUUUAAAUAGUUACCAAAUAAGGAAAGAUGACAUUUUUUUUGGGACGGACAAAAAAGGAAAUGAUGACACAUAAAAUGGGACGGAGGGAGUAUAUUCUUUAAAAAUCAAGUAGAGAUCUUUAUAAAUUUCUCAAAAUCCUUUUGAAAUUUUCUUGAAUUUCGAAAUAGUUUGAAAAAAUCAAAACCAUUUUCUUUUAAAUAAAAUUCGAAAAGGGAUAAAACUAAAAUGUCGAUUCUACUGGGGAUUAUAUCUAGGUUCUAACCAAAUAUUUAAACUAACUACUUUGACUAUUUAAAUUUUGUUUAAAUUCUUGCAAAAUUUAAACUGUUGCAUUUCAUGACAUACUUCCAUAUUUGAAAUAUAUAAACUGUUUAGGUUUUUGUAGUUGUUGCGACCCCUAUUUAUCAAUUUCAAAUGAAGUGUUGAAAAUAUGACAGUUUAUUGGUACGUAGGACAUCUGAUGGCUGUUCGUAUUUUCAAACCUAAGGUGUCCACUUGGGAACCUAGUCAAAGCCCACUCUAGAUACCUAGGAUAGAGCGAAACCGAAACCCUAUUAGGCAUGAUCUAGGACAACCCAAUACCUGAGGGGAUAUUGGGUUGGAAAACCUAUCCCACAUCUAUUGACCACGAGUCAAUCACAGACGAGCCAUAUUUAGGUGUUAAAGGAGUAUAUGUUAAUAGAUCUGAUCCAUUAUCCUUCAGGGUAGGAGGAAAAGCUUACUUUAUUUGUUUCUAUGUAGAAAUAGCUCAACUAGUCCCUUUCAAAAAGUUCAAAAUGGUUACCAAACUCCCUAACUGCCUUAAAGUUUAGUAGACUCACAUGAGUGCGGAAGAUAAAAAUAUUGUUAGAACACAUAUCAGGCACCUACCUUUGCUUAUGGAAAUGGAUGCUUGGCCAGAAAUAAUCCAUGCGCUAACAAAAUUUAAUGAUGAUGACAACAUUGUGUUUCUCUUUGGGGAGGUUGAAUUGAAUCCCACUAUUAAAGAAGUGGUAACUUGUUAUGAAAGCAUCAACAUGUGUACCAAAAGGAGGAGUGCACCUGACAAUAGUAUUUUGGUCCCGAUUGUAUGGAACCGUCAAAAGAUCAAGUAUGUCUUUUCAAUCAAAGAUGAUACCUGGUUGGGAGAGCAUGAUAGAGCAAACAUACCUUUUCACAAGUAUAUUAUCGGUUGGGAAGAUUUAAUAUUUUUGAAAAAUUUGGGCAUUUAUUUGCAUCAUAGUCAAAGUGGAAGGAGAAAAGAGCAUCAGCUUUCCCGGUGAACUUACUUGGAACUACGGUGUUCCCACAAGGAGAAAAUGGCACCAUUCAUCCCACUAUUGUUAUGGUGACCCAUGCCCUUUUCUAUGGAGUGGAUUACAGAACCACUAAAGUAUUCCACACUUUAGCUCCCAUGAUCGUCGCUGAAAUAUAUAGAGCUUUGGGAAGGUGUCAAAGUGGGUAUCAUUUCUUUCAAGGAUGCAAUCUUAUCUUGCAAUAGUGGAUGAUGAAGCAUUUAUUGAAAAGCCCCGGGUGAUCCAGGAAUUUGCCUAUUAUUUUCUUAAAUAAGAUUUCGAUAUAGAAGGAUUUCUUUAUUUCUUCACCGCGGGUUCUCGCAUCAUUUUCUUAAAAACUGUGCCUAUGGUUAGAUUUAUCACCGAGUAUGGAAAAGGCGAGACCCCACUUAAGCACUUCAUGGUAAAGGAGUGAAGGGAAAAAAAUUAAGAAAAUAUCCUUUAACAUCGGGUAUGAUCCCGAGGUUAGUGACACUUACAAAUAAUGGUGAAAUAAGAAUAUUGCCGGAACAUUGGUCCCAGGUUCGAAUGUGACCAUACAAAUCAUUUAUGUAGAAUCGAAACAUCAGAUUCGAUUAUACAGACUUCAGUAUGAAUUCCAAAAAAGUGAGAUUGCACACCAUCGAAUGCAUAUGGAGGAUGCCUCAAGCAUAUACCAAUUGAGAGAAGAAUUAAAGCGAUCCAAGUAAGAGAUUGAUGAUGCUAGGCGGUGUUUGAUUGAUUUGGAUGAUUGCAUGGUUUACUGGAUUAAUAGCAUAGGGAGAAUAACCGAUGAAAGUCGAGCACAGUUAUACGUGAAUCACUUGAUCACCAAUAAAUAUCGCAUGUGGCAUGAGGUUGACAAAGCUAAGAGGGUGAAGGCCGAUGAAGGAUCAUCUAGACACUAGUGUUUUUUAUUUUUAUCCCUUGCAUGGGACCUUAUUCUGUUUCUUAUGUUAUUUUUUCUUCCCAAAAAUUUUUAUCCCUUUUCAUGCAACUUUGUAGGCAUUUAUGCCCUUUUUCAUAUAUCUAUGGAGAUUAUGAGGGACAAUGAAUUGGUUUUAAAAGACAUAUACUACCUUCAUAUUUGCUAGACCAACCCUUGGCUCGAAAGAUUCACCCAAUUAAGAAGCGUUUAUUAUGUUAUUGUUGUAUGAUAAAAUUGUUGUAUGUGCUUAUGUACGUUGUUCGAAUCAAAGGUAAAUUGAUAUACUCCUCAACCGAAGUUUUAUAAACCCCUCUAAGCCAAAAUAUACUAUCCAAAGUCAGCCCAAAAAAUUUUAGGUCUCCAAGUCUCUCAAAAAGUCCUCAACCAUUUUCGUUAACUUUCUUUUUAAAUGUAUUCCUAUUCUUUCAGGAAAAUCGGUCAUGGAUUCAAGGACUACUCAACUGAAAAGAUGGAUAGUGGAGUUAUUCCAAGUGGAGGAAAUUCUAAGAGCGGAGAUCAAGAGAAUGAUUAGAAGGAUCGAUCAGGAUGACAAG
rnacentral:lncRNA from 1 species